rnacentral:rRNA from 1 species
UACGUAGGGGGCAAGCGUUGUCCGGAAUCAUUGGGCGUAAAAGCGCGUGUAGGCGGCUCGGUAAGUCUGCUGUGAAAGUCCAGGGCUCAACCCUGGAAUGCCGGUGGAAACUGUCCGGGCUAGAGUCCGGAAGAGGCGAGUGGAAUUCCUGGUGUAGCGGUGAAAUGCGCAGAUAUCAGGAGGAACACCAAUGGCGAAGGCAGCU